GGUUCCGGUAAGUAUGGUAGCACGUGUAGAGAUCAAUUUGGUCUCAUGGCUUGCUGAUUUGCUAGCCCAAUUUGAUGGGUAUUUGGGUCAGGUCAAGCCACCUGAAAGCAGUCAAAAAGAGGUGCCAUAUCUAUUGAUUAACGUCAAAAACCAAAAGUCCAAGAUGAGAAGGACUCUUGGCGCAAAUAUACAGAGCGCACGCACUGUUUGGUUUUGGCAUGGAGAAGGACUAAGAGUCCUUAUGUUUUGG
rnacentral:lncRNA from 1 species